rnacentral:rRNA from 1 species
CAGCGCCACUAGUGGCGUUCACGAUUAUUGGGCCUAAAGCGUCCGUAGCCGGUUUAGUAAAUCCCUUGUGAAAUCGACGUGCUUAACGCGUCGGCGUGCAGGGGACACUGCUAAACUAGGGACCGGGAGGAGUCUGAGGUAUGCAAUGGGGACCGGUAAAAUGGGAUAAUCCAUUGUAGACCACCGAUGGCGAAGGCAUCAGACCAGAACGGAUCCGACGGUGAGGAACGAAAGCCAGGGGAGCGAACCGGAUUAGAUACCCGAGUAGUCC